rnacentral:rRNA from 1 species
UACAGAGGGGGGCUAGCGUUGUUCGGAAUUACUGGGCGUAAAGCGCGCGUAGGCGGCUUUGUAAGUUAGAGGUGAAAGCCCGGAGCUUAACUCCGGAACUGCCUUUAAGACUGCAUCGCUAGAAUCGUGGAGAGGUGAGUGGAAUUCCGAGUGUAGAGGUGAAAUUCGUAGAUAUUCGGAAGAACACCAGUGGCGAAGGCGACUCACUGGACACGUAUUGACGCUGAGGUGCGAAAGCGUGGGGAGCAAACAGG